rnacentral:tRNA from 1 species
GUGGGUGUAGCUCAGUUGGUUAGAGCGCUGGUUUGUGGAGCCGGAGGUCGCGGGUUCGAUCCCCGUCACUCACCCCA